rnacentral:lncRNA from 1 species
AUUGUCAAAGUAAGCAACAUAAAGAGACUAAUUGUCAAAGUGAGCAAAUUAAGGAGACUAAUUGUCAAAGUUAGCUAAAUACGGAGACUAAUUGUCAAUCAAAUUAAAUCACAGCUAAUCUCUCCUUACCUUCAGGAACAAUUGUCAAAGUGAAUUUGGUUUUAAGCUACACUUGCCUAGUAUAGAUGCAAUUCAUGUAUAUAAAUAGGCUUGUAAUGUGCAAAAUAGAUAUUGAGGAAAAUAUUGUUUAUUUCAUUUAUUAUCAUGGUAUCAGAGCUUGUAUAAUUUUUCCUCUCAUCUUUGAUUGUCCAAUUGUUUUUUUUUUAUUUUCAAUUCAAAUUCAUAAAAUGGAGGGAAGUCAGUCUGAAUCCAUUUCUGUUAAAUUCAAUGGGACCAACUUUGCUCUUUGGGAAUUUCAAUUUCGAAUCUUUGUUGAAGGGAAAGGAUACUCUGGUAUUCUUGAUGGAUCUCAAAAGGAAGAAGGUACCACAGAAGCCAAGCUACAAAGGAAAACAAAAAAGGCUCAGGUUAUCACUUGGAUUCUAAAUUCUGUGGAACCUAAAAUCACACUCAGUCUCCGAUCAUUCAAAACUGUAGCAACAAUGUGGAAACAUCUUCAAGGAACUUAUUCUCAAGUGGAUCAAUCAAGGCAAUUUCAACUUGAAUAUGAAAUUGCUAAUAUCAACCAAGAGGAUAGAGAUAUUCGUGGCUUUUAUAUUGAAAUUUUAAAGCUAUGGACAGAACACGAUAUGAUAUCUUCUUGUGUUAUUUCUGAUAUUGCAUAUUCAGAAAUUAAGGCGGAACGCGAUCAUGCACGAGUGAUGCAAUUCCUCAUGAAACUUCGACCAGAAUUUGAGAAUGUCAGGGCUACGCUAAUUAAUCGAGGAAAUUUGAGUAUGGAGUCUGCUCUUGGAGAUCUUAUUCAUGAAGAAACAAGGCUGAAUACUCAGAUUCAGCUAGACAACAAAACCAACUCAGUAGAUGCAGUCUUUAUGGCUUCAUGUGGUAAGUGUUACUCAAAACAAAAGACUACAGGGAAAGCAGGUACUCAAUGUCGAUAUUUUGGUAAACUGGGACAUGUGCAGUCUCAUUGCCAUAAGCGCAAUAUAUGCAACUAUUGCAAAAAGCCAGGACACAUUAUCUUGGAUUGUCACAUAUUGAAAAAUAAGAAUGGUCAUUCAGCAUUUAUUACAACGAGUAAUGAUGGAGACAGUGCCAACAAUAAAGAAACUCUAUUUUCAUCAGACACAAUUCAAAAGAUGAUUCAAGAUUCAGUGCAAGCAGCUCUUCCAGGUGCUCUUUCCUCUGCCUUCUCUGUUGCUGGGUUAUCAGGUAAAGGAAUUAAAUCUGUGUCUUGGUUCUUUGACUCUGCUGCCUUUAAUCAUAUGUCUGGUCAAAAACAUAUUUUUUCUCAACUCAAGCCUUGUUCUUCGAAUGAUUCAAUUACCACAGCCAAUGGACGAAAAUUACCUAUAAAAGGAAUUGGCACAAUUUGUUUAUCCAUUGAGUCUAAGAAAUCCAUUUGUUUACCUAAUACUCUUUAUGUCCCACGUUUAAUAGCCAACCUUAUUUCUAUUGGACAAUUAACUGACCAAAAUUGUGUGGUAAAAUUCUCCCCUGUUGGUUGUGAUGUGCAGGACCUUCAAAUGGGACAAGUGAUCAUGAAGGGGCAUAAACGUGGACGUUUAUUUCAUCUAGUUUCAGAUGGUACACCAAAUUAUCCUCUAGGUCUUUCAGCCUUGUUGUCUGCAUCUGUCAAUAACACAUGGGAUCUAUGGCAUCGUCGCCUUGGUCAUCCGCAUACUACCCGAUUAGAAUUUAUGUUCAAAUCCAAUUUUCUUCCAGAAAAAUUGCAUGUUAAGUCUGAUAUUUCUCAGAAUUGUCAAAGUUGUGCCCUUGGAAAAUUUGCUAAAUUACCAUUUCUUUUUAGUACUACAAAAGUUGAUGCACCCUUUCAUCUAAUACACUGUGAUCUAUGGGGUCCUUCCCCUGUUCUAUCUAGACUUGGUUAUAAAUAUUUUGUUUUGUUCAUUGAUCACUUUACUCGAUUUACUUGGGUGUAUUUUUUACGUUCUAAAUCUGAUCUAGCAAAUAUAGCCAAAACUUUUGUUACUAUGAUUGAGACACAAUUUGGCAAAAUAAACAAAAUAUUUCGUUCAGAUUCUGGUGGAGAAUUCUGUGCUUCGAAUCUUAUAAAUUUUUUUCAAGAGAAAGGCAUUUUAACUCAAUAUUCUUGUCCUGGAACACCGGAGCAAAAUGGUGUUGUGGAACGAAAGAAUCGCCAUGUUUUGAAAAUUGCAAGAACACUUUUACUUGAAUCAUCUAUUCCAUCUAAAUUCUAUGUUGAAGCUAUACAUACAGCUAUCUAUCUCAUAAAUCGACAACCUUCUCCUAUAAUUGGUAAUCAAUCUCCAUAUUAUGCUCUUUACAAUAGAUUACCUGAUUAUACCCAUCUUCGUGUUUUUGGUUGUAUUUGUUUCGUUUUGCUUCCUCCUCAUGAAAUAACUAAGUUAUUUGCUAAAUCUGCUAAAUGUGUAUUUAUUGGUUAUAGUGAUAAACACAAGGGGUAUAUUUGUUAUGAUCCAUUGAGUCAUCGCAUACGUGUGUCUCGUCAUGUUACUUUCUUUGAAAAUAUAUAUUUUUAUUCUUUCUCUACUCAUCCAAAUGUUACUCAAUCUUCCGUUUCCUUUUUACAUGAUUUUGAUUCUCCUAAUACUCUUACCCUUAAUGUUGAUGAGAUAACGUUCACUUUGCCAUCAAAUGAUCAUGUUCUUGAAGGUCCAGCCUCAAACUCUUCCAUUGUUGAUCCCACAACACCUCCUCCACUUUGAGACGAUCAAAUCGUGUCAAUUUUGGAAGACCAUCCACAAGGUAUACACCAUUCUACUCUUUCUUUGCCAAUUUAAAUUCUAUUCAGAUUCCUUCUACUUAUAACCAGGCUAUUACCCAAGAAUGUUGGAGAAAAGCAAUGGAAGAAGAACUUAGGGCCCUUGAGGAGAAUCAUACUUGGGAUUUAGUUCCUCAAUCUUCUGAUAUGUCUGUGAUUGGGAGUAAAUGGGUCUAUACUAUUAAAGUGAAGUCGGAUGGCACUCUUGAUCGAUACAAAGCCCGAUUAGUGGCUCAAGGAUAUAAACAAGAAUAUGGGAUUAACUAUGAUGAAACUUUUGCUCCUGUGGCAAAAAUGACUUCUAUUCGCACUAUUCUUGCUAUAUCAUCCAUGAAGCAUUGGCACCUUCAUCAAUUGGAUGGGAAAAAUGCAUUUCUUCAUGGCAAUUUGCACGAAACAAUUUAUAUGAAGUGUCCUCCUGGAUAUGAUUAUGCUGGUUCCAAUAUGGUUUGCAAACUGCGAAAAUCUCUGUAUGGUCUUAAACAAGCACCUCGUGCAUGGUUUGAAAAAUUUAGAUCUACAGUUUGUUCCGCUGGUUUUCUACAGAGCUCUAAUGAUCACUCACUUUUUACUCGUCAAUCUAGUGGUGGAAUUAUUAUUUUACUUCUCUAUGUCGAUGAUAUGGUCAUUACUGGUAGUGAUUCUCAAGGUAUUACAGAGUUCAAACAAUUUCUCACAAGUUCAUUUUCUAUGAAAGAUCUUGGCACUCUUACCUACUUUCUUGGCUUAGAAGUUUCAUAUACAUCUGAUGGAAUUUUUCUAACUCAAAGAAAAUAUAUUGAAGACCUUCUUCAGUUGGCCCCUCUCACGUAUCAAAAGAUUUGCUCUACUCCAAUGGAACAAAAUUUAAAGUUAAAAAGUGAUGAAGGCACAUCUCUAUCCGAUCCUACCUUGUAUCACCGUUUAGUAGGGAGUCUUAUUUAUCUCAUUACUACGCGUCCGGAUAUUUCCUUUGCUGUGCAAGUUGUCAGUUAGUUUGUCUCUCAACCAAGAAAGCCUCAUCUUUCAGCUAUUCAUCACAUUUUGCGAUAUUUAAAAGGAACUUGUGGUCGUGGAUUGCUCUUUCCUUCUCAAUCCUCUCUCACACUUAUGGCAUAUGCUGAUGCAGAUUAUGCUGAUUGUGUUGAUACCUGACGUCUACGACAGGAUGGUGUGUGUUCUUGGGAAAUUCUCCUAUCUCUCGGAAAUGUAAAAAGCAAGAACGUGUCUCAAAAUCUUCUACUGAGGCGGAGUAUUGAUCCAUGUCAUCUGUUAGCUCUGAAAUUGUAUGGCUCCAACGGCUUCUCACAGAUUUCGAAAUAACUUGCACCCAACCUAUCACGCUUUUUGGAGAUAACACAAGUGCCAUCAACAUUGCUACAAAUCCAGUUCACCAUGAGCGAACUAAACAUAUUGAAGUUGAUUGCCACUACAUUCGUGAUUUGGUUCGUGACAAGUUCAUUCAUCUCACACAUGUAUCGUCUCAUAACCAACUUGCUGAUUUAUUUACUAAACCCACGUCAUCUACACGUCAUUCCUAUCUUGUGAGCAAAUUGAUGCUUGCUGAGAAUCAUCAUCAAUUUGAGGGGGGAUGUCAAAGUGAGCAACAUAAGGAGACUAAUUGUCAAAGUGAGCAAAUUAAGGAGACUAAUUGUCCAAGUUAGCUAAAUAUGGAGACUAAUUGUCAAUCAAAUUAAAUCACGGCUAAUCUCUCCUUACCUUCAGGAACAAUUGUCAAAGUGAAUUUGGUUUUAAGCUACGCUUGACUAGUAUAGAUGCAAUUCAUGUAUAUAAAUAGGCUUGUAAUCUGCAGAAUAGAUAUUGAGGAAAAUAUUGUCUAUUU